ensembl:snoRNA
GCUGGCGAUGAUGAUUCACUUGCCCUCACUGAGAUCCAACGCAGGGAUUGUUGCUGAGAACUUCCUCUGGACUCACUGUGGGCUGAGC